GCCUAGUUGGCUUAGUCGGUGGAGCAUGUGACUCUUGAUUUCAGGGUUGUGGGUUAGAGCCCCACACUGGAUA
rnacentral:tRNA from 1 species